GGCGAGCCUCUCACUCGCCACCUCCUCUUCCACCCCUGCCAGGCCCAGCAGCCACCACAGUGCCUGCUUCCUCGGCCCUGAAAUCAUGCCCCUAGGUCUCCUGUGGCUGGGCCUAGCCCUGUUGGGGGCUCUGCAUGCCCAGGCCCAGGACUCCACCUCAGACCUGAUCCCGGCCCCGCCUCUGAGCAAGGUCCCUCUGCAGCAGAACUUCCAGGACAACCAGGUGAGGGCCGACAUCUCCUGGGGGUGUGAGAGUCAGACUGAUGUCACAGACAAGGGAUGGCCAAAGCUGAGGGAUCCUGUCAUUCACCUCACUGUUCUGCCCAGAAUUCAUCUGUGUUCAUCCUUCCUCUGUUCCUUAGAGCAACGUUUAUAGCACAUUUGCAUGCAGACACACAGACAGUGGAAAAAGAAGUGUGACUACUGGAUCAGGACUUUUGUUCCAGGUUCCCAGCCCGGCGAGUUCACGCUGGGCAACACUAAGGGUUACCCGGGAUUAACGAGUUACCUCGUCCGAGUGGUGAGCACCAACUACAACCAGUAUGCCAUGGUGUUCUUCAAGAAAGUUUCUCAAAACAGGGAGUACUUCAAGAUCACCCUCUACGGGAGAACCAAGGAGCUGACUUCGGAACUAAAGGAGAACUUCAUCCGCUUCUCCAAAUCUCUGGGCCUCCCUGAAAACCACAUCGUCUUCCCUGCCCCAAUCGACCAGUGUAUCGACGGCUGAGUGCACAGGUGCCACCAGCUGCCGCACCAGCCCGGACACCAUUGAAGGAGCUGGGAGACCCUCCCCACAGUGCUACCCACCCAGCUGCUCCCCAGGCCACCCCACUGAUGGAGCCCCACCUUGUCUGCUAAAUAAACAUGAACCCCCAGA
rnacentral:sRNA from 1 species